rnacentral:rRNA from 1 species
CGGCCGCGUCGACGCCCUUACGACCAGGGCUACACACGUGCUACAAUGGUAGGUACAGAGGGUUGCUACACAGCGAUGUGAUGCUAAUCUCAAAAAGCCUAUCGUAGUCCGGAUUGGAGUCUGCAACUCGACUCCAUGAAGUCGGAAUCGCUAGUAAUCGCGGAUCAGAAUGCCGCGGUGAAUACGUUCCCGGGCCUUGUACACACCGCCCGUCACACCAUGGGAGUCUAUUGCACCAGAAGUAGGUAGCCUAACGAAAGAGGGCGCUUACCACGGUGUGGUCGAUGACUGGGGUGAAGUCGAAACAAGGUAGCCGUAGGGGAACCUGCGGCUGGAUCACCUGUCGACGCGGCCG